rnacentral:rRNA from 1 species
CCUACGGGGGGCAGCAGUGGGGAAUAUUGGACAAUGGGGGGAACCCUGAUCCAGCCAUGCCGCGUGUGUGAAGAAGGCCCUCGGGUUGUAAAGCACUUUCAGUGAGGAAGAACGCCUGGUGGUUAAUACCCAUCAGGAAAGACAUCACUCACAGAAGAAGCACCGGCUAACUCCGUGCCAGCAGCCGCGGUAAUACGGAGGGUGCGAGCGUUAAUCGGAAUUACUGGGCGUAAAGCGCGCGUAGGUGGCUUGAUAAGCCGGUUGUGAAAGCCCCGGGCUCAACCUGGGAACGGCAUCCGGAACUGUCAAGCUAGAGUGCAGGAGAGGAAGGUAGAAUUCCCGGUGUAGCGGUGAAAUGCGUAGAGAUCGGGAGGAAUACCAGUGGCGAAGGCGGCCUUCUGGACUGACACUGACACUGAGGUGCGAAAGCGUGGGUAGCAAACAGGAUUAGAUACCCCAGUAGUC